CAAAAUAUAUAAAAUAUUUAUUAAUGUCGCAAAAAUAAGUAUUAGAAUAUUGAUUAUUCAAACAGUUGACAAGAAUAAUAUUAUUAAAAACAACAAAAGUUGAUGUUAAUCACUGAAUUUCAGGUAGCACGUGUCACGCAGAAUCGCUACAAUCAUGCAAGAUUAUAUUAUUACAUAAUUUCACUAGUAAAGUUGGCAAGCUUUUUUUUUUUUUUUUUUUUUCCAUCUAUUUGAUUUUAUUGAUGGGCCAAACCCAGAAAAUCCGAUACAAAAGAGCAUAAAGCCCGACAAAAGCGAGACGAAACAAGUCCAAGGCCCAAGCCCAUCAACUGAACGGUGCCACUACUGUACACGCGUCCAGCCAAACUCUAACCCACCCACGUGUUGAGACCCCCCGUCUCACGGAGACACACGUCAGCCGAUCACCACAUCAGUGCUCCAAACGCCAAGGUAAGCCGGAGAAGAUGAAGAGCGGCCAGUAGUUUCGUCGGAACACACCUGAUCAAAACACUGUACCCAUCUUCAUCACCGAACAAUUUCAAAGGAGAGAUCGAUCGAGGACAAUCCCGAGAUCUCAUCCAAAGCCACCAUGGAACACCUUUGACGGUUUAACACCACAC
rnacentral:lncRNA from 1 species